rnacentral:rRNA from 1 species
CGCAUCUGUGCAUGCAGCAUAUCAAUAAGCGGAGGAAAAGAAACUAACAAGGAUUCCCUUAGUAACGGCGAGUGAAGCGGGAAGAGCUCAAAUUUGAAAUCUUCAAGGUUUUACCUUGACGAAUUGUAGUUUAAAGAAGUGUUUUCUGUUGAAGUUUAGGUAAAAGUUCUUUGGAAUAGGACAUCAUAGAGGGUGAGAAUCCCGUAUUUGACCAUUAUUUUCAGCUGUGUGAUACACUUUCAAAGAGUCGGAUUGUUUGGGAAUGCAGUCCAAAAUGGGUGGUAAAUUUCAUCUAAAGCUAAAUAUUGGCGAGAGACCGAUAGCGAACAAGUACCGUGAGGGAAAGAUGAAAAGAACUUUGAAAAGAGAGUUAAACAGUACGUGAAAUUGUCAAAAGGGAAGCGUUUGACACCAGUGUUGUUUUCUCGAAAAUCAAUUAAAAAGAGUUUAGAUUUUGUUGUGUAUUGACCUUAACAGCUUGCAUUUCAAUUUUCUUGCUUUUUUUAAUGCACUUUUCGUUUAACAAGUCAACAUCAGUUUCUUUUGUUGUAAAAAGGUCAUUGGAAGGUGGCUUUCUUUUCGGAGAAAGUGUUUAUAGCCUAUGACUCCUGCAAUCGGAGAGACUGAGGUCUGCAGCGUAGAUCCGUCGGGGUUAGAUACAUUUGUGCUAAGUUAUAGCUUUUUAUAGACAACUUGUUGACUAUGAUUAGUCUUGUAGCUUACUCGCUUAUGCUAUUUUACCUACGCUUAGGAUGUUGACACACGCGCGUGCUCG